UACGUAGGUGGCAAGCGUUGUCCGGAUUUACUGGGCGUAAAGAGCGCGCAGGCGGCCAAGUCAGUCGAAUGUGAAAGCCCCCGGCUUAACUGGGGAGGGUCAUUCGAUAUUGCUCGGCUCGAAGACAGGAGAGGGAAGCGGAAUUCCCGGUGUAGUGGUGAAAUGCGUAGAUAUCGGGAGGAACACCAGUGGCGAAGGCGGCUUUCUGGCCUGUUCUUGACGCUGAGGCGCGAAAGCUAGGGGAGCAAACAGG
rnacentral:rRNA from 1 species